UACGUAGGGUGCGAGCGUUAAUCGGAAUUACUGGGCGUAAAGCGUGCGCAGGCGGUUGUGCAAGACAGAUGUGAAAUCCCCGGGCUCAACCUGGGAACUGCAUUUGUGACUGCAUAGCUAGAGUACGGUAGAGGGGGAUGGAAUUCCGCGUGUAGCAGUGAAAUGCGUAGAUAUGCGGAGGAACACCGAUGGCGAAGGCAAUCCCCUGGACCUGUACUGACGCUCAUGCACGAAAGCGUGGGGAGC
rnacentral:rRNA from 1 species